rnacentral:tRNA from 1 species
GGGGGUGUAUGAGAGCCUGGUGGUCUCCCCCGCCUUCAAAGCGGGCGGCAGCAGCGAUCCUGCUGCGGCGGGUUCGAUUCCCGUCCACCUCCG